CCGGUAAACGGCGGCCGUAACUAUAACGGUCCUAAGGUAGCGAAAUUCCUUGUCGGGUAAGUUCCGACCUGCACGAAUGGCGUAAUGAUGGCCAGGCUGUCUCCACCCGAGACUCAGUGAAAUUGAACUCGCUGUGAAGAUGCAGUGUACCCGCGGCAAGACGGAAAGACCCCGUGAACCUUUACUAUAGCUUGACACUGAACAUUGAGCCUUGAUGUGUAGGAUAGGUGGGAGGCUUUGAAGUGUGGACGCCAGUCUGCAUGGAGCCGACCUUGAAAUACCACCCUUUAAUGUUUGAUGUUCUAACGUUGACCCGUAAUCCGGGUUGCGGACAGUGUCUGGUGGGUAGUUUGACUGGGGCGGUCUCCUCCUAAAGAGUAACGGAGGAGCACGAAGGUUGGCUAAUCCUGGUCGGACAUCAGGAGGUUAGUGCAAUGGCAUAAGCCAGCUUGACUGCGAGCGUGACGGCGCGAGCAGGUGCGAAAGCAGGUCAUAGUG
rnacentral:rRNA from 1 species